rnacentral:rRNA from 1 species
UACGGAGGGGGCUAGCGUUGUUCGGAAUUACUGGGCGUAAAGCGCACGUAGGCGGCUUUGUAAGUUAGAGGUGAAAGCCCAGGGCUUAACCCUGGAAUUGCCUUUAAGACUGCAUCGCUAGAAUCGUGGAGAGGUGAGUGGAAUUCCGAGUGUAGAGGUGAAAUUCGUAGAUAUUCGGAAGAACGCCAGUGGCGAAGGCGACUCACUGGACACGUAUUGACGCUGAGGUGCGAAAGCGUGGGGAGCAAACAGG